GGCGUGAACUCGGGAGGCAGAGCUUGCAGUGAGCCGAGAUCGUGCCCCUGCACUCCAGCCUGGGCGACAGAGUGAGACUGUCUCAAAAAAAAAAAAAAAAAAAAAAAAAGAGAAAGAAAAAGUCCCUAGGCCAGGCACAGUGGCUCAUACCUGUGAUCUUGGCAUUUUAGAGGCCUGAGGCUGGAGGAUCGCUUGAGCAGACAUUGAGGGUGCAGUGAGCUGUGAUUGUGCCCCUGCACUCCAGCCUGGGCAACAGAGCAAGACCCCAUCUCAAAGAGAAAGAAAAGUCCCUGAUGCCUGCCGUGUCCUUUGAAGCCUCUACCCCGAGCAUGGAGUCUGCUGGGCUGUCACAUCCAAUCAGCGUCCCAGCCUGGACCCCCGGUUCCCGCUCGACAGGGGAGGAGAAACACCUUCGUGUGCUCUGAGGCUGAGGACUUUGGGUGAGGAUUCCACAUUUGCGCACACGCCACCCUCUCAGCGGGGCCCGGACUCUUCACCAAGUUCUUUAGCGCCUGGAAUUCAGCAAGGGCACAGUUGCUGCCUGGUCACUAAGCCCAGCGGCCCCCGUUCAGUUCUCGUCACCUCCACACUCUCCACACGUAGCUCUCAGCUCUUACGAUGGCCUUCUGCCUGAGCUUCCCAACCCUGUAUCCUCCCAGAGCUGCCUGUCGGCUGCCCUCUGCCACGCGGGACCCUCCGCCGCCCUCUCCUCUGCCACGCGGGACCCUCCGCCGCCCUCUCCUCUGCCACGCGGGACCCUCCGCCGCCCUCUCCUCUGCCACGCGGGACCCUCCGCCGCCCUCUCCUCUGCCACGCGGGACCCUCCGCCGCCCUCUCCUCUGCCACGCGGGACCCUCCGCCGCCCUCUCCUCUGCCACGCGGGACCCUCCGCCGCCCUCUCCUCUGCCACGCGGGACCCUCCGCCGCCCUCUCCUCUGCCACGCGGGACCCUCCGCCACCCUCUCUGCCACGCGGGACCCUCCGCCGCCCUCUCCUCUGCCACGCGGGACCCUCUGCCGCCCUCUCCUCUGCCACGCUGGACCCUCUGCCGCCCUCUCCUCUGCCACGCGGGACCCUCUGCCGCCCUCUUCUCUGCCACGCGGGACCCUCUGCCGCCCUCUCCUCUGCCGCCCUCUUCUCUUCCACGUGGGAUCCUCUGCCAUCUGCUCCGCGCUUUGCUUUCGGGGCUGCCUCUGUGGCUGUCUCCCUCACGCCGGGGCUCCCGCCAAACCCAUGAGGCAGCCCCUGUGUAAGGCUCCUGGUCAGCCAAGAGGACCCCAGCGCCCUGGAGGCUGCACCCCCAUCCCUCCUGCUGUGGGGCCCUUGGUGCUCCAGGCCCGAGUCUCUCACACCGCGGCUCACCCGCUGCCCCAAGGGGCUCAGGCAGCAGGUCCAGCUCCUCCCGGGGCCUGCGACAGAACAGUUCCAGCAGGGGGCUCUCACGUCCCCACCUGCUCCCAGAGAGGUGCUUCUGUGCCCAGACAUGGAACAGCUCCACAGAAAAUGAGGGCACUGGCCGAGCAGGCCCAGACUCCAGAAAGGAAACCACUGAGGGUGCAGGCCCGACCCACGUCACCUCGGAGUCUGUCCUCGCGGAGACGGUGACGGGCCCUUCCCUCACUGUACAGAUGAGGACACACAAGGAGCUGACUUCAUGCCUGGACAUUAAGCUCAGGAAUUCCCAGCCUAGAGCUGGCUCUCUAGGUUGCGGGGUCUGGUCCCAGUCCAGAAACAUCUCCCAAGCCACAGCUCAGGACACAGCAGGGUGGGGGGCGAGGGGGCGAGUGGGAGCUCCAGGGAGAGGCCCCUAAGGCUGUUCCCCAUCAUCAGAACUUGCAGGCCAGUGGCCUCUAAAGGUACUCAUUAGAGGGCUGUGGACCUCACUUGCCCAAAACCUGCCCGGGCCUGCUCAGCACAUCCUUCUGAGACGUGAGGCUGUGACCACCUGCUGCCUCAGCGUCCCCUUCUCACCCCGAACAACCUGCCUUUAACCCAACUCUCUCCAGACUGACAACGAUCCCUGUAGACUGUCAGAGCCUCGUUUGGAUAGUCACAGACUACCUGGAUAAAAGAUAAAACAUGGCCGGGCGCGGUGGCUCACGCCUGUAAUUCCAGCACUUUGGGAGGCCGAGGCGAGCGGAUCACCUGAGGUCAGGAGUUCAAGACCAGCCUGGCCAACAUGGUGAAUCCCUGUCUCUACUCAAAAUACAAAAAUUAGCCAGGCAUGGUGGCAGGCACCUGUAGUCCCAGCUGCUCAGGAGGCUGAGGCAAGAGAAUCACUUGAACCUGGGAGGCGGAGGUUGCAGUGAGCUGAGAUUAUGGCAUUAUCCUCCAGCCUGGGCGACGAGUGAAACUCCAUCUCAAGAAAAAAAAAAAAAAAAGAUAAAACAUGCAGAGUAGAAACCCCAGGUGGACAGAUACCUGUCCCACCCAGAGAAAAGCUGGGUGGUGCCAUCGACGGGCAAAAGUAGUGGAAAAGCCAGCUGCGUGUGCUGGCGCGAGAUGCGUUUCCAUGAUGGAGGAUGCCACGCACUCAGCCUCUCCUGUUACCCUGUGGCCUGCGAGCCCUCUCUUAAGUGCACCAAGAGCAGCAAGGGACUUAGAGCAACUUCAUUCACUGCUGCCCAGGCGGAAAAGGGCGCACAGGCCCUGCAGCUGGAACUGGGUAACAGGCCGGGUGGAGACUCACACUGGAUCCCACUCAGCCAUGAUCACAAGAACAGAGCGACUGCUGCUCGGGUCUCACGGGCGACUGACAGCAACCGGGAGCCCCAAAGCCUUCCCGACACCCCCUGUUCCAUCCACGAACAGAUGCUUUAGGUACUGAUUUUCUCCUCUCUGCCUGGCUGGAACAUCCGUCUGCAUCGGACAGGCUUCCUUCUGCACCUGUGACCUCACAAGGGCUCUCCUUGGGGAUGCAGGACCAGAGCAGCCCUGAGCAACCGAGCACAGCCAAGGAACAGGCCCCAGGGAGGCCAGGACCCAGGUCCUCACGCCUGCGGCCACAGAAGCACCGUGUCCCUGCAGCUGUGAGCCACCAGGCGUCUGGGUGGGUGGUUACUCAGCACGUGCCAGUAGAGAAACUGGGUCCCAGAGUUGGGGUUGCUGUGGACUGGAUACUUGUCCCCCACCUCCAGUUCACAUGUUAAAGUCCUCACCCCCAGCAAGACAGUGUUGCAGGUGGGGCCUUUGGGAGGGGAGCAGGUUGAGAGAAGAUCCUGGGGGACCCUCACGAUGAGAUGAGCGCCCUCAUGGGAAGAGACACCGGAGCCUCCUCUCCAGGAGCACACACGGGGACAGCCACAUGAGCAAGAGGCUGCUGUCCGUAAGCUGGGGGUGGUCCCUCAACAGGAACUGGGUCUGUGGCACCUGGAGGCUGGACUCCCAGCCUGCAGAGCUGGGAGAAAGAAAUGUCUGCUGUGAAGCCAGUCGGUCUGUGGAAUUUUGACACAGCAGCCUCGUCUAAGACAGGUGCCGGCAGAGCCACCUCGUCUAAGACAGGUGUUGGCAGAGCCACCUCGUCUAAGACAGGUGCCGGC
rnacentral:lncRNA from 1 species